AGUGAACGCUGGCGGUAGGCCUAACACAUGCAAGUCGAACGGCAGCACAGUAAGAGCUUGCUCUUACGGGUGGCGAGUGGCGGACGGGUGAGGAAUACAUCGGAAUCUACUUUUUCGUGGGGGAUAACGUAGGGAAACUUACGCUAAUACCGCAUACGACCUACGGGUGAAAGCAGGGGAUCUUCGGACCUUGCGCGAUUGAAUGAGCCGAUGUCGGAUUAGCUAGUUGGCGGGGUAAAGGCCCACCAAGGCGACGAUCCGUAGCUGGUCUGAGAGGAUGAUCGGCCACACUGGAACUGAGACACGGUCCAGACUCCUACGGGAGGCAGCAGUGGGGAAUAUUGGGCAAUGGGCGCAAGCCUGAUGCAGCCAUACCGCGUGAGUGAAGAAGGCCUUCGGGUUGUAAAGCCCUUUUGUUGGGAAAGAAAAGCAGCAGGUUAAAACCCCGCUGUUCUGACGGUACCCAAAGAAUAAGCACCGGCUAACUUCGUG
rnacentral:rRNA from 1 species